AACGAACGCUGGCGGCAGGCCUAACACAUGCAAGUCGAGCGAGAUCUUCGGGUCUAGCGGCGGACGGGUGAGUAACGCGUGGGAAUAUGCCUCUUGGUACGGAAUAGCCUCGGGAAACUGGGAGUAAUACCGUAUGUGCCCUUUGGGGGAAAGAUUUAUCGCCAAGAGAUUAGCCCGCGUUGGAUUAGGUAGUUGGUGGGGUAAUGGCCUACCAAGCCGACGAUCCAUAGCUGGUUUGAGAGGAUGAUCAGCCACACUGGGGCUGAGACACGGCCCAGACUCCUACGGGAGGCAGCAGUGGGGAAUCGUAGACAAUGGGGGCAACCAUGAACUAGCCAUGCCGCGUGAGUGAUGAAGGCCUUAGGGUUGUAAAGCUCUUUCAGCUAGGAAGAUAAUGACGGUACCAGAAGAAGAAGCCCCGGCUAACUCCGUG
rnacentral:rRNA from 1 species